GCCAGCGUAGCUCAGUUGGCAGAGCAGCGGUUUUGUAAACCGCAGGUCGCCGGUUCGAGCCCGGCCGCUGGCU
rnacentral:tRNA from 1 species